rnacentral:rRNA from 1 species
AGUGAACGCUGGCGGUAGGCCUAACACAUGCAAGUCGAACGGCAGCACAGUAAGAGCUUGCUCUUACGGGUGGCGAGUGGCGGACGGGUGAGGAAUACAUCGGAAUCUACUUUUUCGUGGGGGAUAACGUAGGGAAACUUACGCUAAUACCGCAUACGACCUACGGGUGAAAGCAGGGGAUCUUCGGACCUUGCGCGAUUGAAUGAGCCGAUGUUGGAUUAGCUAGUUGGCGGGGUAAAGACCCACCAAGGCGACGAUCCGUAGCUGGUCUGAGAGGAUGAUCAGCCACACUGGAACUGAGACACGGUCCAGACUCCUACGGGAGGCAGCAGUGGGGAAUAUUGGACAAUGGGCGCAAGCCUGAUCCAGCCAUACCGCGUGGGUGAAGAAGGCCUUCGGGUUGUAAAGCCCUUUUGUUGGGAAAGAAAAGCAGCAGGUUAAUACCCCGCUGUUCUGACGGUACCCAAAGAAUAAGCACCGGCUAACUUCGUG